rnacentral:rRNA from 1 species
UACGGAGGGGACUAGCGUUGUUCGGAAUUACUGGGCGUAAAGCGCACGUAGGCGGAUUUGUAAGUCAGGGGUGAAAUCCCGGGGCUCAACCUCGGAACUGCCUUUGAUACUGCAAAUCUCGAGUCCGGAAGAGGUGAGUGGAAUUCCUAGUGUAGAGGUGAAAUUCGUGGAUAUUAGGAAGAACACCAGUGGCGAAGGCGGCAUCCUGGACCGGUAUUGACGCUGAGGCGCGAAAGCCAGGGGAGCAAACGGG